CAGUAAAUACAAACCUGCCAAUUCCUUUAUUGUGAGCAAAGUUGAAGUAUACACAGCUGACUGCUACACCACUGUGGCUGAAAUCUGCCCUUUCAAAAGACCGUCCUCACACUGUCCAAGAGUUUUCUGUCCAGCAAACUGCAAGACUCAGCCUUCUUACUGGUCUCCUGUUAUUGGAAGCAACAUUUAUGCAGAUGUGAGUAUUAAUUAUCGUAUAAGCCACUUAGAAGACUGCUCCAUCUUACACUUUAGGAAGAGUAAAACAAUAAACCUUAAAUUCACAUGGGAAUUCACUUUAUGAAACCAUGUAGAAUAUUUUGUUUA